rnacentral:rRNA from 1 species
UACGGAGGGGUGCAGCGUUAAUCGGAAUUACUGGGCGUAAAGCGUGCGCAGGCGGUUUGUUAAGUCCGCUGGUGAAAUCCCCGAGCUCAACUUGGAAUUGCAGUGGAUACUGGCAAGCUGGAGUAUGGUAGAGGAAGGUGGAAUUCCCGGUGUAGCAGUGAAAUGCGUAGAGAUCGGGAGGAACACCAGUGGCGAAGGCGGCCUUCUGGACCAAUACUGACGCUCAUGCACGAAAGGCGUGGGGAGCAAACAGG